rnacentral:lncRNA from 1 species
GAAGAAGAGGAUAAAGGAAAAAAGGAAGAAGAGGAGGAAGAAGAAGAAGAAGAAGAAGAAGAAGAAUAGGAGGAGGAGGAGGAUAAGAAGAAGAAGAAGAAGAUGAUGAUGAUGAUGAUGAAGAAGAAGAAGAAGGAUAAGAAGAAAAAGAGGAGAGGAGGAGAAGAAUAACAGGAAAAAGUAAAAGAAGAAUAAGAAGAGAAGAAGAAGAAGAAGAAAAAGAAGAAGAAGAAGAAAAGGAUGAAAAUGUAGAAGAAGAAGAAGAAGAAGGAGAAGUAGAAAAGGAAGAAUAGGA